GUACCUCCCUUACACUGAGAAGUCGCCCGUGCAAACCGGGCCGCCCUGA
rnacentral:tRNA from 1 species